rnacentral:rRNA from 2 species
ACCUCUAGCAUUACUAGUAUUAGAGGCAAUGCCUGCCCAGUGACACCAGUUUAACGGCCGCGGUAUUCUGACCGUGCAAAGGUAGCAUAAUCACUUGUUCUCCAAAUAAGGACUUGUAUGAAUGGCCACACGAGGGUUUUACUGUCUCUUACUUCCAAUCAGUGAAAUUAACCUUCCCGUGAAGAGGCGGGAAUAAAAAAAUAAGACGAGAAGACCCUAUGGAGCUUUAAUUAACUAUUCCAAAAGUUAAACAACUCAACCACAAAGGGAUAAAACAUAACUUAACAUGGACUAGCAAUUUCGGUUGGGGUGACCUCGGAGUACAAAAAACCCUCCGAGUGAUUUUAAUCUAGACAAACCAGUCAAAAUAACCAUAACAUCACUUAUUGAUCCAAAAUUUUGAUCAACGGAACAAGUUACCCUAGGGAUAACAGCGCAAUCCUGUUCUAGAGUUCCUAUCGACAAUAGGGUUUACGACCUCGAUGUUGGAUCAGGACACCCAAAUGGUGCAACCGCUAUUAAA